rnacentral:lncRNA from 1 species
ACAGUCAGGGCCAGGGAGGAGCAGAAUCCUCAGAGGAAGAUGUGGAUCCUCUCCCAGACAGCCGGGAGGCAGGUGGGACACAGGGAGGAGCAGAUCCUCACUCAGACAAAGAUGGGGAUCCUGCCCUGGGUGGAGGGAGGAGCAGCAUCCUCACUCAGCCAAAGAUGGGGAUCCUCUUGGGACGGCCUGGAGGCAGAUGGGGCACAGGGAGGAGCAGAUCCUCCCUCAGACGAAGAUGCAGAUCCUCCCUCAGACGAAGAUGUGGAUCCUCCCUCAGAGGAAGAGGCGGAUCCUCCCUCAGACGAAGAUGUGGAUCCUCCCUCAAAGAUGCAGAUCCUCCCUCAGACGAAGAUGUGGAUCCUCUCGCGGAUGGCCUGGCGGCAGAUGGGGCACACGGUCAGCGCCGUGCUGCAGUCCGGGCAGGAGCCGUGCCCGCACUGGAACACCAGCUUGAUCUGGUCGUCGAUGCAGAUGGGGCAGGUGAUCCUCUCCUCCAUCUGCCGGUA